UACGGGGGGGGCAAGCGUUGUCCGGAAUUAUUGGGCGUAAAGAGCUCGUAGGCGGUCUGUUACGUCUGCUGUGAAAACCCGGGGCUUAACCCUGGGCUUGCAGUGGAUACGGGCAGACUAGAGGCAGGUAGGGGAGAAUGGAAUUCCCGGUGUAGCGGUGAAAUGCGCAGAUAUCGGGAGGAACACCGGUGGCGAAGGCGGCCUUCUGGAAAGUGACUGACGCUGAGACGCGAAAGCGUGGGGAGCAAACAGG
rnacentral:rRNA from 1 species